UACGUAGGGUGCAAGCGUUAAUCGGAAUUACUGGGCGUAAAGCGUGCGCAGGCGGUUAUGUAAGACAGAUGUGAAAUCCCCGGGCUCAACCUGGGAACUGCAUUUGUGACUGCAUGGCUGGAGUGCGGCAGAGGGGGAUGGAAUUCCGCGUGUAGCAGUGAAAUGCGUAGAUAUGCGGAGGAACACCGAUGGCGAAGGCAAUCCCCUGGGCCUGCACUGACGCUCAUGCACGAAGGCGUGGGGAGCAAACAGG
rnacentral:rRNA from 1 species